rnacentral:rRNA from 1 species
UACGUAGGGGACGAGCGUUGUCCGGAAUUAUUGGGCGUAAAGAGCGUGUAGGCGGCCCUGCAAGUCCUGCGUGAAAUCUCGAGGCUUAACCUCGAGCCUGCAUUCGAUACUGGGCGGCUAGAGUCUGGUAGGGGGAUCUGGAAUUCCUGGUGUAGCGGUGGAAUGCGCAGAUAUCAGGAGGAACACCGGUGGCGAAGGCGGGAUCCUGGGCCAGUACUGACGCUCAUGUGCGAAAGCGUGGGGAGCAAACAGG